rnacentral:piRNA from 1 species
UCCCAGAAAUGAACUCCGUGUGGCCAC